GGUGUUUGGGGAAGGACCCAUCAUUAAACUCUUAAACCAAUUAGUUGUCUGAGAGGGCCAUUUACNNUAAUAAUUAAAAUAUAUUAAAAACUUUCAACAACGGAUCUCUUGGCUCUCGCAUCGAUGAAGAACGCAGCGAAAUGCGAUAAGUAAUGUGAAUUGCAGAAUUCAGUGAAUCAUCGAAUCUUUGAACGCACAUUGCGCCCUUUGGCAUUCCUUAGGGCAUGCCUGUUCGAGCGUCACUAAAAACCUCCUCACAUAUAAUAGUGGUAUUGGAAGAAGUAGGCCAUGCUGAUAUUGUACUUUAUCCUACCUACUCCACCGAAAUCAAUCGGCCAGAAAAGUGGACCAUGGUAACAGACUCUCAGAGUGUUUUAAAAAUACUAAACUAGUCUUAGCCAGGUUGGAAUCUGAGCCACUGGACCCCCAUUUAGUCCAAACAAAAAUAGAGGUUGACCUCGGAUCAGGUAGGGAUACCCGCUGAACUUAAGCAUAUCA
rnacentral:rRNA from 1 species